AUGCAAAAAAGUUAUUGAUGCAAUUAUGGUUUUCAAGAAAAAGAAGACUAUGGGAUGUACCUAAUGUGCUGAUGGAAGAGUAACUAAAAACCAUCAUUCCUUCCUGAUGCAGAUUUUUCUGCAAAUAGUCCUUCAAGAAAAAUUGACAUAAAUGUAAGCUCUACUUACAACAACCGUAUCAGAUCCAAUGAUCAAGGAUCUCGCAUCUCCUCGGUGAACUACUCGCUAGAAUGACUCUUUGCGCGGAUAAAACCUCUAAAAGUGG